rnacentral:SRP_RNA from 2 species
GCCAGGUGUGGUGGUGCACACCUGUAAUCCCAGCUACUCGGGAGGCUGAGGCAGGUGAAUCACUUGAACCCAGGAGGUGGAGUUUGCAGUGAGCCGAGAUUGCGCCACUGCACUCCAGCCUGGGUGACAGAGUGAGACUCCGUCUCAA